CAGAGUGUAAAAACUCCAAAACCAUUGUGAACCUACCUUGACAGUUGCUUCGGUGGGCGAUCCCAGGGCGGGAUCGUAGCCGCGAGGCGCCCGCCGAAGGUAACCAAACUCUUUUGUUAUAGCAGUCUUCUGAGUACUAUAUAAAUCAAUCA
rnacentral:misc_RNA from 1 species